rnacentral:piRNA from 1 species
UGGGCAAGCCACAUGAGCAGGUGACAG